CGGUUUAAAUGGCACUGUAGAGGUUGAAGGGGAGAAAGAUGAACAGAUAAUCUUCAAAACCUGUUUCAGCCAGUAGGUACAACCUUGUUUCCUGACCAACCUUUAGUCCAAGAGUUUAACAAGUGAAAACAGUUCAGUGGUUUGAGGGAUAAGAAAGAUUUACACACCCACAAUGUGUACUGACCUAUAAAAUCUAGAGAGAAUCCCGAAACUGCUCUCUGACUUUAUUGCCUCAAUUUUAUCUUGAUCAU
rnacentral:lncRNA from 1 species